rnacentral:rRNA from 1 species
UACAGAGGUCCCAAGCGUUGUUCGGAUUCAUUGGGCGUAAAGGGCGCGUAGGCGGUUCGUACAGUCAGACGUGAAAUUCCUGGGCUCAACCUGGGGGCUGCGUUUGAUACGUGCGGACUUGAGUGCGGAAGAGGGUCGUGGAAUUCCCAGUGUAGAGGUGAAAUUCGUAGAUAUUGGGAAGAACACCGGUGGCGAAGGCGGCGACCUGGUCCGAUACUGACGCUGAGGCGCGAAAGCGUGGGGAGCAAACAGG